UACGUAGGGUGCAAGCGUUGUCCGGAAUUAUUGGGCGUAAAGAGCUCGUAGGCGGUCUGUUACGUCGGCUGUGAAAACCUGGGGCUCAACUCCGGGCCUGCAGCCGAUACGGGCAGACUAGAAUUCGGUAGGGGAGACUGGAAUUCCUGGUGUAGCGGUGAAAUGCGCAGAUAUCAGGAGGAACACCGGUGGCGAAGGCGGGUCUCUGGGCCGAUAUUGACGCUGAGGAGCGAAAGCGUGGGGAGCGAACAGGAUUAGAUACCCUGGUAGUCCACGCCGUAAACGUUGGGCGCUAGGUGUGGGCUCCAUUCCACGGAGUCUGUGCCGCAGCUAACGCAUUAAGCGCCCCGCCUGGGGAGUACGGCCGCAAGGCUAAA
rnacentral:rRNA from 1 species